rnacentral:rRNA from 1 species
CCUACGGGAGGCAGCAGUGAGGAAUAUUGGUCAAUGGACGAGAGUCUGAACCAGCCAAGUAGCGUGAAGGAUGACUGCCCUAUGGGUUGUAAACUUCUUUUAUAUGGGAGUAAACUGUUCCACGUGUGGGCUUUUGUAUGUACCAUAUGAAUAAGAAUCGGCUAACCCCGUUCCAGCAGCCGCGGUAAUACGGAGGGUCCGAGCGUUAUCCGGAUUUGGUGGGUUUAAAGGGAGCGUAGGUGGAUUGGUAAGUCAGGUGUGAAAGUUUGCGGCUCAACCGUAAAAUUGCAGUUGAUACUGGGAGGCUUGAGUACAGUAGAGGUGGGCGGAAUUCGUGGUGUAGCGGUGAAAUGCUUAGAUAUCACGAAGAACUCCGAUUGCGAAGGCAGUUCACUGGACUGCAACUGACACUGAGGCUCGAAAGUGUGGGUAUCAAACAGGAUUAGAUACCCGGGUAGUC